rnacentral:tRNA from 1 species
UUAAAGAUAGUAUAAUAAUACAUCCUUCUGUUAAUUGGAAAAUGAAUAAUUCUCUUUAAG